UACGUAGGUGGCGAGCGUUGCCCGGAUUUACUGGGCGUAAAGCGCGCGCAGGCGGUGAGGUAAGUCUGUCGUGAAAUCUCCUGGCUCAACUGGGAGGGUGCGGUGGAGACUGCCGGACUGGAGGCACUCAGAGGCCGGUGGAAUUCCCGGUGUAGUGGUGAAAUGCGUAGAGAUCGGGAGGAACACCAGUGGCGAAGGCGGCCGGCUGGGGGUGACCUGACGCUGAGGCGCGAAAGCGUGGGGAGCGAACCGG
rnacentral:rRNA from 1 species